rnacentral:lncRNA from 1 species
UGAAGCACGCACACAUGCAAGGCUGGCCCCAUGUCUUCCUUGGCUGCGAACAUCAUCUACAGGUACAGCAUUGUCCUACAUCUCUGUGCUGUUUUGCUCGUUCUUCUCCUUGCAUCCGAUAAAAUUGGCGCUUAAUCUGCUAUUGAUUACAGUCUUUGUUCGUUAAUACCAAGUCUAAAUUGUUCCUUUCAUUUUCCUGUUACUCAGGCUAGCAGUAUGACCGGAUGCGAGGACCUGCUCACUGACCAGGACAAUCUAUGAGCUCCCAGCGCCUCUGAUACAAGGUGUGUUAGGGCCAACCUCUUCCGGAAGAAGGCCACACUCGUAGCCCCUCUGGAUCAAAAUUGGUAUCCCUUCCUGCCUCUCCUUUUGGAUUCACAUGAUUUUGCCUCAUGGAUUGAUGGAUGUGUCUAUAAUUGUAAAGUCUGGUCCUCAUUUACUUUCUAUAAUUUAUUGCAUGCUUGAUGAGGCUAUGUCAAGUGUCUAAAUUUUGAAUGCAUGCGCUAAGGCAUUUUUGAGCACUUCGCGUUGAUUGGGCGUUUAGCUCCUGUAAUGUUCUUGAAGUUCAUUGUUAUAUACUUCUUGUUGUAGGAUGGCAAGUUGUCGCAGCUGGAGCAAGUCUUACAAGAGAGAGCAAUGAAGUCCAUUGUACUCUCCUGUUAUAUACUUCUU